CGGCGAGCGAAGAGGGAGAAGCCCAGCGCCGAAUCCCCGCCCGCCCAGUCGGGCGCGGGACAUGUGGCGUACGGAAGAUCGUUUUCCCGGUGUCGGCGUGGGGGCCUGAGUCCUUCUGAUUGAGGCUCAACCCAGGGACGGUGUGAGGCCGGUAGCGGCCCCCGUCGCGCCGGGGCGCGGUCUUCCCGGAGUCGGGUUGCUUGGGAAUGCAGCCCAAAGUGGGUGGUAAACUCCAUCUAAGGCUAAAUACUGGCACGAGACCGAUAGUCGACAAGUACCGUAAGGGAAAGUUGAAAAGAACUUUGAAGAGAGAGUUCAACAGGGCGUGAAACCGUUAAGAGGUAAACGGGUGGGGUCCGCGCAGUCUGCCCGGGGGACUCAACCCGGCGGGUUACGGUACGGCGGCUCGGUGUCUUGAGGAUCGUCUAGUCAGCGACCCCCGCCCGAGUCGGCUCCGGCCCCAGUGCGGUGCAUUUCCUC
rnacentral:rRNA from 1 species